rnacentral:rRNA from 2 species
GCUGGAGGUAUCAGAAGUGCGAAUGCUGACAUAAGUAACGAUAAAGCGGGUGAAAAGCCCGCUCGCCGGAAGACCAAGGGUUCCUGUCCAACGUUAAUCGGGGCAGGGUGAGUCGACCCCUAAGGCGAGGCCGAAAGGCGUAGUCGAUGGGAAACGGGUUAAUAUUCCCGUACUUGGUGUUACUGCGAAGGGGGGACGGAGAAGGCUAUGUUGGCCGGGCGACGGUUGUCCCGGUUUAAGCGUGUAGGCUGGUUUUCCAGGCAAAUCCGGAAAAUCAAGGCUGAGGCGUGACGACGAGGCACUACGGUGCUGAAGCAACAAAUGCCCUGCUUCCAGGAAAAGCCUCUAAGCAUCAGGUAACAUCAAAUCGUACCCCAAACCGACACAGGUGGUCAGGUAGAGAAUACCAAGGCGCUUGAGAGAACUCGGGUGAAGGAACUAGGCAAAAUGGUGCCGUAACUUCGGGAGAAGGCACGCUGACACGUAGGUGAAGUGAUUUACUCAUGGAGCUGAAGUCAGUCGAAGAUACCAGCUGGCUGCAACUGUUUAUUAAAAACACAGCACUGUGCAAACACGAAAGUGGACGUAUACGGUGUGACGCCUGCCCGGUGCCGGAAGGUUAAUUGAUGGGGUCAGCGCAAGCGAAGCUCCUGAUCGAAGCCCCGGUAAACGGCGGCCGUAACUAUAACGGUCCUAAGGUAGCGAAAUUCCUUGUCGGGUAAGUUCCGACCUGCACGAAUGGCGUAAUGAUGGCCAGGCUGUCUCCACCCGAGACUCAGUGAAAUUGAACUCGCUGUGAAGAUGCAGUGUACCCGCGGCAAGACGGAAAGACCCCGUGAACCUUUACUAUAGCUUGACACUGAACAUUGAGCCUUGAUGUGUAGGAUAGGUGGGAGGCUUUGAAGUGUGGACGCCAGUCUGCAUGGAGCCGACCUUGAAAUACCACCCUUUAAUGUUUGAUGUUCUAACGUGGACCCGUAAUCCGGGUUGCGGACAGUGUCUGGUGGGUAGUUUGACUGGGGCGGUCUCCUCCUAAAGAGUAACGGAGGAGCACGAAGGUUGGCUAAUCCUGGUCGGACAUCAGGAGGUUAGUGCAAUGGCAUAAGCCAGCUUGACUGCGAGCGUGACGGCGCGAGCAGGUGCGAAAGCAGGUCAUAGUGAUCCGGUGGUUCUGAAUGGAAGGGCCAUCGCUCAACGGAUAAAAGGUACUCCGGGGAUAACAGGCUGAUACCGCCCAAGAGUUCAUAUCGACGGCGGUGUUUGGCACCUCGAUGUCGGCUCAUCACAUCCUGGGGCUGAAGUAGGUCCCAAGGGUAUGGCUGUUCGCCAUUUAAAGUGGUACGCGAGCUGGGUUUAGAACGUCGUGAGACAGUUCGGUCCCUAUCUGCCGUGGGCGCUGGAGAACUGAGGGGGGCUGCUCCUAGUACGAGAGGACCGGAGUGGACGCAUCACUGGUGUUCGGGUUGUCAUGCCAAUGGCACUGCCCGGUAGCUAAAUGCGGAAGAGAUAAGUGCUGAAAGCAUCUAAGCACGAAACUUGCCCCGAGAUGAGUUCUCCCUGAGACUUAGAGUCUCCUGAAGGAACGUUGAAGACGACGACGUUGAUAGGCCGGGUGUGUAAGCGCAGCGAUGCGUUGAGCUAACCGGUACUAAUGAACCGUGAGGCUUAACCUUACAACGCCGAAG